rnacentral:rRNA from 1 species
AUUGUACAAUGUUCAAAUAUUUAUAGGAUUAAGAUGGGCAUGCGUGUCAUUAGCUAGUUGGCGGGGUAACGGCCCACCAAGGCGACGAUGACUAGGGGAUCUGAGAGGAUGACCCCCCACACUGGUACUGAGACACGGACCAGACUCCUACGGGAGGCAGCAGUAAGGAAUAUUGGUCAAUGGAGGCAACUCUGAACCAGCCAUGCCGCGUGCAGGAAGACAGCCCUCUGGGUCGUAAACUGCUUUUAUUCGGGAAUAAACCACAUUACGUGUAAUGUGCUGAAUGUACCGAAGGAAUAAGGAUCGGCUAACUCCGUGCCAGCAGCCGCGGUAAUACGGAGGAUCCAAGCGUUAUCCGGAUUUAUUGGGUUUAAAGGGUGCGUAGGCGGCUUAUUAAGUCAGGGGUGAAAGACGGUGGCUCAACCAUCGCAGUGCCUUUGAUACUGAUGAGCUUGAAUACACUAGAGGUAGGCGGAAUGUGACAAGUAGCGGUGAAAUGCAUAGAUAUGUCACAGAACACCGAUUGCGAAGGCAGCUUACUAUGGUGUGAUUGACGCUGAGGCACGAAAGCGUGGGGAUCAAACAGGAUUAGAUACCCUGGUAGUCCACGCCCUAAACGAUGAAUACUCGCUGUUAGCGAUAUACAGUUAGCGGCUAAGCGAAAGCGUCAAGUAUUCCACCUGGGGAGUACGCCCGCAAGGGUGAAACUCAAAGGAAUUGACGGGGGCCCGCACAAGCGGAGGAGCAUGUGGUUUAAUUCGAUGAUACGCGAGGAACCUUACCCGGGCUUGAAAGUUAGUGAAUCAUUUAGAGAUAGAUGAGUCCGCAAGGACACGAAACUAGGUGCUGCAUGGCUGUCGUCAGCUCGUGCCGUGAGGUGUUGGGUUAAGUCCCGCAACGAGCGCAACCCCUAUGUUUAGUUGCCAGCACGUUAUGGUGGGGACUCUAAACAGACUGCCUGUGCAAACAGAGAGGAAGGAGGGGACGACGCCAAGUCAUCAUGGCCCUUACGUCCGGGGCUACACACGUGCUACAAUGGAUGGUACAGAGGGCAGCAAGCUGGCAACAGCAAGCGAAUCUCAAAAAGCCAUUCACAGUUCGGAUAGAGGUCUGCAACUCGACCUCUUGAAGUUGGAUUCGCUAGUAAUCGCGUAUCAGCAAUGACGCGGUGAAUACGUUCCCGGGCCUUGUACACACCGCCCGUCAAGCCAUGGAAGUUGGGGGUACCUAAAGUAUGUAACCGCAAGGAGCGUCCUAGGGUAAAACCGAUAACUGGGGCUAAGUCGUAACAAGGUA